ACCUACAUCACUGACACACAGCAACAGGCCUUCCAAACAGAAGCAGAGGUGCAAAGCAACAAACAGCUCAACCCACCUCAGGGAAUGAACCAGCAAAUCCAAACAGGACCAACUGUGGUCCUGACGUACCGUCAGACAGUGGCAGCUGGAGAGGAUCCCUGUACAAACCAGAUGGGUUGGUAGGCACCCCGGAGUUCUACACCGGCAGAUGUUGAAGACAAGUGAAUUCAUACAGCCCAGAUGCUGGAACAGCCCUGCCUGCACAGGUGACCCUGCAUUCAAGAAGCUCGACCCAGUUGUUCUGAUGACAUGAACAGUUCGCCAGAAGGGUAAGGUGUGACCAUGACAACGAACCUCCCGGUGUGCAUUCAGCCAGGAACAGCUUCCCAUGGAGACCCAUCACUUGCAUCUUGGCCUGCAGCCGGCAGGGCCUCUCAAGUCUGUCUGAGGGCUCCUACCUUACUCCCACAGUCGGCUGGACUCUGCUGGUCACUUGGAAGAACUUGAACCCACACAAGGAACCCUGACAAAGACUAUACUCCGUCCUCUAUAUGGAAGGAAGACAAAC